CCUACGGGUGGCAGCAGUGGGGGAUAGUGCACAAUGGGGGAAACCCUGAUGCAGCGACGCCGCGUGGAGGAAGACGGUCCUCGGGAUUGUAAACUACUGUCACCAGGGACGAAGAUGACGGUACCUGGGGAGGAAGCGCCGGCUAACUACGUGCCAGCAGCCGCGGUAAUACGUAGGGAGCGAGCGUUGUCCGGAAGUACUGGGUGUAAAGGGAGCGUAGGAGGGGAUGCAAGUUGGGUGUUAAAUCUACCGGCGCAACGGGGAGUCGCACUCAAAACUGCAGCUCUUGAGGGAAGUAGAGGCCGGCGGAAUUCCUCUUGUAGCGGUUCCAUGCGUCGUUCUUAGGCG
rnacentral:rRNA from 1 species